rnacentral:rRNA from 1 species
AUUGAACGCUGGCGGCAGGCCUAACACAUGCAAGUCGAGCGGUAACACAGAGGAGCUUGCUCCUUGGGUGACGAGCGGCGGACGGGUGAGUAAUGCCUGGGGAUCUGCCCGAUAGAGGGGGAUAACUACGGGAAACUGUAGCUAAUACCGCAUAAUGUCUACGGACCAAAGUGGGGGCUCUUCGGACCUCAUGCUAUCGGAUGAACCCAGGUGGGAUUAGCUAGUUGGUGAGGUAAUGGCUCACCAAGGCGACGAUCUCUAACUGGUUUGAGAGAAUGACCAGUCACACUGGAACUGAGACACGGUCCAGACUCCUACGGGAGGCAGCAGUGGGGAAUAUUGCACAAUGGGCGCAAGCCUGAUGCAGCCAUGCCGCGCGUGUGAAGAAGGCCUUCGGGUUGUAAAGCACUUUCAGCGGGGAGGAAGGGUCACUAGUUAAUACCUAGUGGCAUUGACGUUACUCGCAGAAGAAGCACCGGCUAACUCCGUGCCAGCAGCCGCGGUAAUACGGAGGGUGCAAGCGUUAAUCGGAAUUACUGGGCGUAAAGCGCACGCAGGCGGUUUGUUAAGUCAGAUGUGAAAUCCCCGAGCUCAACUUGGGAACUGCAUUUGAAACUGGCAAGCUAGAGUCUUGUAGAGGGGGGUAGAAUUCCAGGUGUAGCGGUGAAAUGCGUAGAGAUCUGGAGGAAUACCGGUGGCGAAG